UUCCUUCCCGAAAGGAGAGGUCAGCACACUCCUUGAUAAGCAUGGAAGGGGACCCUGGUGGCCUUGCAACCCACUAAUGAUUAUGGCCAUUGCCAUCUACUUAAUGCCAUCUAACCAUGUAUGCCC